rnacentral:rRNA from 1 species
UACGGGGGGGGCAAGCGUUGUUCGGAAUUACUGGGCGUAAAGGGCUCGUAGGUGGCCAACUAAGUCAGACGUGAAAUCCCUCGGCUUAACCGGGGAACUGCGUCUGAUACUGGAUGGCUUGAGUUCGGGAGAGGGAUGCGGAAUUCCAGGUGUAGCGGUGAAAUGCGUAGAUAUCUGGAGGAACACCAAUUGCGAAGGCAGCUCGCUGGGACGUUACUGACGCUGAGACGCGAAAGCGUGGGGAGCAAACAGG